AUUCCAGCUCCAAUAGCGUAUACUAAAGUUGUUGCAGUUAAAAAGCUCGUAGUUGGAUUUCUGUUUUUAAAAAUCGGUCGUAACCUCACGGUUUCUGUACCAGGUUUCUUAAAUGCAUCCUCAGGGUUCUGUUAUCUGGUAUUAAUUUAUCGGAUUUCUGGUCCUUGUCAUUUACUGUGAGCAAAAUAGAGUGUUCAAAGCAGGCUUAGGCCAUGAAUACAUUAGCAUGGAAUAAUAAGAUAGGACCUUGGUCUAUUUUGUUGGUUUACAUUCCAAGGUAAUGAUUAAUAGGGAUAGUUGGGGGUAUUCGUAUUCAAUUGUCAGAGGUGAAAUUCUUGGAUUUAUGGAAGACGAACUUCUGCGAAAGCAUUUGCCAAGGAUGUUUUCAUUG
rnacentral:rRNA from 1 species